UAUUGGACAAUGGGCGCAAGCCUGAUCCAGCAAUACCGCGUGUGUGAAGAAGGCCUUAGGGUUGUAAAGCACUUUCAAUUGGGAGGAAAACCUGCCGGUCAAUACCCGGUAGCUUGACAUUACCUUUAGAAGAAGCACCGGCUAACUCCGUGCCAGCAGCCGCGGUAAUACGGAGGGUGCGAGCGUUAAUCGGAAUUACUGGGCGUAAAGCGUGCGUAGGCGGUUCGUUAAGUCAGAUGUGAAAGCCCUGGGCUCAACCUGGGAACUGCAUUUGAAACUGGCGGACUAGAGUUUAGUAGAGGGGAGUGGAAUUUCAGGUGUAGCGGUGAAAUGCGUAGAUAUCUGAAGGAACACCAGUGGCGAAGGCGACUCCCUGGACUAGAACUGACGCUGAGUACGAA
rnacentral:rRNA from 1 species